rnacentral:rRNA from 1 species
AGCCUGCCCACUGAAAUAAAUUUAAAGGGCCGCGGUAAUUUGACCGUGCGAAGGUAGCAUAAUCAUUAGCCACUUAAUUGGUGGAUGGAAUGAAGGGUUGGAUGAGGGAUGAACUGUCUUUUUAAUAAAAUUUGAAUUUUACUUUUAAGUGAAAAGGCUUUUAUUCCAUAAAGUGAAGAUAAGACCCUAUAAAACUUAUAUAUAAAUUUAUCAUAUUUGUUAUAUUUAGUAAAAGACAGUAAGGUUAAUUUAUAUUUUGUUGGGGCGACAGGAAUAAAAUAAGUAUCUGUUCUUAUAACAAGUUAGUGACAUCUAAUUAAUGAUCCUUUAAUAAGGAUUAAAGGAUUAAGUUACUUUAGGGAUAACAGCGUGAUUUUCUUUGAGAGUUCUUAUCGACAAGAGUAGUUGCGACCUCGAUGUUGAAUUAAAAUUUCUAAUAAGUGUAGUAGCUUAUAUAGUGAGUCUGUUCGACUUUUAAAAUUUUACAUGAUUUGAGUUCAAACCGGUGCAAGCCAGG